CCCCCCAGAAUUCUUUCAGGUUUUUUUUUAAACUGGUUUACUCAUGAAUUUUAAAUAGUUAACCAAAUCCCCAUGAAUGUCCACUGAGGUUUAUCUAUGGAGCCUGAUUUCUAAAUUAUUUUGUGUUAUGGAACUACUCUUCAUGAUUAGCUAAAAACAGGUUUAAACCCCCCCCCCCAUUUUUUUCUGGCUAUGGUUCUGACAACAAUUGAUAACAGUAGCCGAGCCCAGUAGAUAUGGUCAGAGCUAAAAAGCCAGGCUGAUGCUUGAGCUAUAUACUCCAGGGAUGAGGCUGGUGAUAAAGUGCAAAAGGCUAGAUAUUAAAUAGGGCUUGAAGGCCAAGUCAAAAUGUAAACUGAUUAGUGAAAUGCACAUUUUCAAAUCUUUACGGAAGGUGGCCAGGGUGGAUCCCUUUCCUCGCCAGUCAUUUUUAGAUAUGAAAACUUCAUUCCUCUGCCCUGAUAUGCAAAUCAAUUGAAAUGGUGUUUCCCACAUCAACUCACAAUGGUAGAAAAAUGGAGGUUGCAUGCCUAAAAACAGCCAGAGGCAGAAGAGUCCAUCUACUGAUAAGGACUCUUGUGGCAAUGGAAUCGUUGCCUAGAGAUAGUUUCCCUCAUUUUGGUGGUUUGGUAGGACAUUCAUUUCACCUCAAAGCAGGUCAUUUUGUAUGCACAAUCCUUAUGCCUAUAAGUUAUUCCCACUGAGUCAAUUACUAAAUUAUCAACCAUCCAUUAACCCAGUGGGCAUACUCUAAAAACAUUCAGGUCACCCUCUUUAGUUGAACUGAUGGCUCUUGUUAUUGUUAUGUUACUGUUUAAAAUAUUGAAAGGAAAAGGUAUGGCUUUGAGAUAUUUUCCUAUGUAACCAAUUAUUUAUCUAGAAAAUAGCUCCAGCACCAUUUUGUCCAACCAUCCAAUACUAACAAUUCCCAAAUUAUGCAGCUGACUGCAUAAGUGGCCUGUGCUGCCCUCCUCAAUCUAAAAGCAAACGUCAAUGCUUGGAAUGUUAAUGCAAAGAAGCAUUUAAUGAAAUCAGGGCUGGGGAAAAGAAAGCACCUUGCUUCUAUGAGAAAAGAAUUAAUCAAGUCUCAUAUCCACAUUGAAAUUUCAGUGCACUGAUCGUAAAUAAUUUGAGACAGGGCUGAAAGAGAUAUGCAACUACCAGAAGAAUGCUUCUGGUAAAUACUUGAUAGAGAAGUAAGUGGGCAGUGGCUGUUUUGGUUAAAUGUUCAUUCAGUUUAUCAAUAUUUGAAGCAAAUUAUUCGGGGUGGGUAUUUGUGUGUGUGAUGUGCAAAAAGAGCACAUUGCCUAUUUUGAUGCAUAUUUUUCUUUCUGAAUAUAAUUAUCUUUGAGAGGACUCUGAGAGCAUCUUCUGCAUGCUAAGAAGCAAAAAUGGGAUUUCCUUAUAGGUAAGGCCGGAAUGGAUACAGCAUCAGAAGGGCAAAUUAAUGCCUGUCAAACAAGUAUGACUUAAGGUAAAACAUGUCUUAUCUGUAUGUACAAAGUGUGUGUAUCUGUGUGUGCUUUCUUUUACUCUUUAAUUGGAAAUCCCUUAAAGAAAACUAUCUCUGUAGCAUCUAGCAUGCUGCCAUUCUGCUCUCUGUGUGUGUAUGAGAGAAAGAGUGAGUUCUUAUUACAAAGGUCUGCUGCUAAUGGAUUGGAUAUGGUACUUUUUCAUUUUGCUAAUGAGAAAAGUUAAAGGCCAUUACAUUUUCUGAUUAAGAUCCCUGCUGGAAGAAAUGUGAUGUGUACAUUGCAGGGAUGUAAAUAAAGUUAAUAUUAAGUUAAUAAAGUUAAUGUAUGCAAAGGAAAUACACAAGAUAUCCAAUAAAUCAGAUUAAAGGUUGACAAAAAGAAAAGAAAAGAAAAACUCUUAUCCCAUGAACAGCACCAAUGAAAAAUGAUGACAGGGAAUAGAAACAGAAAAGGUCUUUGAAAGGUGAACUGUGGGUAUCAGUUAACAAUAUGUUUGUAUGAUGAUCAAUUACCAAAGCUGCUAUCUGGAAAAAUGAAAUUUUCUAAUAGGAAAUAAUGAGGUUAUAUAUCGUAAGAAAAGUGACACCUUUCAUUCAGAAUGUGUAGCACAGUAACUUCUAAGGGAAAUUCUAUAUGAUUGAAAGUGGAUAUGUUGAUAACAUUGUUUCCAAUACUAGGGGAAAAUGGAGUCAAAACUUACUGUAAAUUGUUUGACUAAACAUUAGUAAGGGAAAAAUGUAAAUAUUUAACAGCUCAGAAAGCAAUCUAUAUCAGAUCUAAUGAGAAAUGGGUUUUGUGUUUCUGAAUCAGCUUUAAACAUUUCAGAUGAACAAGAUUAUGUUGCUCACUGAUCAGUUAAUUAUGGAGUAUAACCAAGAAGAUGUCAGAUAUAUGGAUGAUCCUGACAUGUUUUCAAUUUCUCAAAUAUAUGACUAUAAUCUCUACAAGGAUCUUUGGAUAAGUAAAAAUAUUCUAUAAGGUUUAGAGAACUGCCUAAAUUUAUAAAUUAUCUAAAUUUGUUUCAGUUUAGGAGAUAGAGACUAAGACUGUCACUGAAUGUGAACUGGAUAAUAUCCAUGCCAUGACUUGGAAGGAAGACAAUAGUCUGCAGUCAUGGAAUGAUUGGUAGUGAGUGAAGUACAUUCUCCAACAAAAAUCUUUCAGUAGAAAUUGCUUGUUGCAUCUUGGCAAGGUUACUGCUCUGGGAAAAGUGAAGAAAACAUGUGGCAUGUAUAAAAGUAUACAUUGUGCAGAACCAGCAGUUGGAAAGAUAGUUUGCUUCUCUCACACGGAUCCUAAAACCAAUGAAAUACGUCGAUGAGGUUCAAAACCAGGACAUUUAUGAGAGUAAGCUUAAGCUAUAAUAAUAAUAAUAAUAAUAAUAAUAAUAAUAAUAAUAAUAAUAAUAAUAAUAAUUGGAACACAACACACCAGACAUCACAGUCGUGGAAAAGAAAAAGGUUUGGAUCACUGAUGUCACCAUCCCAGGUGACAGUCGCAUUGACGAAAAACAACAGGAAAAACUUAGCUGCUAUCAGGACUUCAAGAUUGAACUUCAAAGGCUCUGGCAGAAACCAGUGCAGGUGAUCCCGGUGGUGAUUGGCACAUUGGGUGCCGUGCCAAAAGAUUUCAGCCGGCAUUUGGAAACAAUAGACAUUGACAAAAUUACGAUCUGCCAACUGCAAAUGGCCACCCUACUGGGAUCUGUGUGCAUCAUCCAAAAAUACAUCACACAGUCCUAAACGCUUGGGAAGUGUUCGACUUGUGAUUUUGUGAUAUGAAAUCCAGCAUAUCUAUCUUGUUUGCUGUGUCAUACAACGUCGUCGUGUCAAUAAUAAUAAUAAUAAUAAUAAUAAUAAUAAUAAUAAUGGCUUUAUUUUUCUAUCACGCCACCAUCUCCCUGUAGGGACUUGGGGCGGCUAACACAGAGUGAAGCCUGAGAACAACAGAACAUAGUAAAACAGAUAAAAAUCAUAUUCAAUAAGUAAAACACAGUAAAAUCAAGCAUGAAUACAAAUGCAAUACAAUAACGAUAGAAACCAAUUUAAAACAUGUAAUGAAGAGAUAAAAGGCCACCAAUUUGGAGAAGGGGUAACAUGAGAGGGCAAAGAAACUAAAGUGCAAUAGUGAAUUAUAUUAUAAGGUGCGUUUGGGGUGAGGAAGACAAGGUGCAAACAUUUUCAGCAUAGGAGCAAGACAGGACAGCCAGUUAAAUCUAGGAGAGGGUGAAGUGCAAGUUGUAAAGCAUUCAUGUAGGUAAGAUUUUGUCAGUAAGCUAUCAUACCCUGUACAUAACAUGAGAAAAUAUAACUCAUCGGAAAACAUAAUACUGAAAAAGGUUGAAAACUGUGUGGAAAAGGGAAGAAAUUACUAGAGAUGGAACGAUUCAAUAAAAAAGCCAAUUCUCAAGAGUUUACAAGAACCCAGCAAGGCGUUUAAAUAGGAUCUUUUGGCAGCCCGUCAUUCAUAAACAACAUGUAACUAUAAGAAGUCUACCAAUGGCUAAUGAAGGAAAUAUCCCACCUUCAGUGUUUCUGAACUCUAAUUGCUAGAGAAUGCAACCAGGAAAGUUACAUACUGUACUUAUUUCCUGCUUGUAGACUUUUCAUAGACAUCUGAUUCUUCACAGUAGGAACUUGAAUGCUAGAUGAAAUUGGUCUUAAUUAGCAUGCCUUUUCUUAUAUUCUCUUAUAUUCUCUUGAAUCACAUGUUCCCACCACCAGUUAUUCACAGAGGAAUUUCAAGUUAUCUUUUUUUACAGAAAGGAAAAUAUGAUGGUAACUGAAAUGUGAAACAUCUUUGUGUGCAAAUAUAAUUUUUUUUGAGUUUUCAAACUUUAUUGAAUAAAAAAACAUGUUCAACAGAAAAUAUGUUAACAUUUGGAUUAAGAGACGUUUUUCAUAUUAAUAUUGUCAUUCCCUUUAUAUAGCAAACAAAACAAAAGUAAGUUAUAGUUUCCACUUGGAAAUAUUAUGACCCGUUAGAUAUAUCUGUGUAAAUUCAGAAAAGACUAAUACUGUGGUAAAAAAUGGAAAAUUGUAAGAAAUGUUGUGACAAAAUAAUUUGACUGACAAAAUACCCUGGGGAAGUCAUCUGUACUAACCAAUGCAGAUGCUCCAAUUGUAAUGAAAAAUAGUCCUGUGCCCUGGAAAUCUUUUAAUUUAGGAAAAAGAGCUAUCAGAAAUUAGGGAAGACUGAUCUACAUCUAUCUGUGUAUUAUUCAUAUCUAUUUAUAUUGUUUUAUUCUCUCCCUUUAGGAAACAAAUAUUGAUGGCCUGACAUACAAUCGUUGGUUGGUUACCAAGCAACAUUACAAUCUGGGAGACACUUUUAUUAGCUACUACUGGAAAUGAAGGCAAACACGAUGUAUGCCAUGGGAUUCUGCAUCAUAAGAGAAUUUAGGGGAUGGAGCUGGAUUCCCUUUGAACUGUUCCAAAUGAAUGGCCAAUUAUGGCAUUGGGAAUCAGCAAUUGGGACCCAAGGCAGCUUGGACCUUAAUAUUCCAACCAUCAGGUUCUGUGUGGAUAGAUGUUAGCCACCUUGAGUCACCAUGGGGAGAAAAGCGGGGUAUAAAUGAAGAAGAAGAAGACCACCUGGCUAUGGCUCACGAAUGGGACACUGAAGAAGGAGACAGAAGGCCUGAUCCUUGCAGCCCAGGAGCAAGCCAUCAGAACAAAUGCAAUUAACGCCAAGAUCGAAAAAUCAGCUGAUGACCCAAAAUGUAGACUGUGCAAGGAAACCGACAAAACCAUUGAUCAUAUCCUCAGCUGCUGUAAGAAAAUCGCACAGACAGACUAUAAACAGAGGCACAACUAUGUGGCCCAAAUGAUUCAUUGGAACUUAUGCCUCAAGUACCACCUCCCAGCAGUAAAGAACUGGUGGGAUCACAAACCUGCAAAAGUAUUGGAAAAUGAGCACACAAAGAUACUGUGGGACUUCUGAAUCCAGACUGACACACCAGACAUCACAGUUGUGGAAAAGAAAAAGGUUUGGAUCAUUGAUGUUGCCAUCCCAAGUGACAGUUGCAUUGACAAAAAACAACAGGAAAAACUCAGCCGCUAUCAGGACCUCAAGAUUGAACUGCAAAGACUCUGGCAGAAACCAGUGCAGGUGGUCCCGGUGGUGAUGGGCACAUUGGGUGCCGUGCCAAAAGAUCUCAGCCGGCAUUUGGAAACAAUAUUGACAAAAUUAAAAUCUGCCAACUGCAAAAGGCUACCCUGCUGGGAUCUGUGUGCAUCAUCCGAAAAUACAUCAUAUAGUCCUAGACACUUGGGAAGUAUUCGACUUGUGAUUUUGUGAUACGAAAUCCAGUAUAUCUAUCUUGUUUGCUGUGUCAUAAAACAAAAUAAUAAUGUAAUAAUAAUUAAUAUGUGUCCAGAUGAAACAACAAACCAGAUUUAAAGAAAUGAAAGCAAAAGAUUCCUUCUGUCAGUGAAGAACGAGGUGAGACAUUCCAUGUACCCAAUGAUAAGUAUGUCUUCUUCCUGCUUUGUUACACAUCAUAUUAAACUUAUAGGUAUUAUGUAUAAAGACAGAUUAUGCCUUUUAAGUACCACUUUAAGAAGGACACUGUAUAUCCAUUUUACUACAAUCAGCCAGGGAUCAUCAUUUAUUGCAGUUUAGGCAGCAGUUCUAUACACAUACUUGAGAUUAAGUUUAAUUGUACACAGUGUAACGUAUUUUUGGGUACACAGAUUUAGGAUUGCACCUCUGCCCCCCAGUUCUAUCAUUCAGAGUAGAAUAUAGUGUAACUCAAGGGUGGGGAAUCUAUUGUCCAUGUGCAACAUGUCAUGUGGUCCCUGAAACCUCAGAGAACGCUCAAUGAAAUUCAAGUCAUAGGGAGCAUAGGCAAAUGUAAUUGAGGCUCCCUACUAUCAUUCUAAAGCAAGUAGCAGCAACACAAAUACACUUACCAUUUCUCUGCUUAAUUCUAUUUGUUAUUCGUUUCUGUUUGCCUUCUCCCCACUUCCUUGGUUUUUCCUUAAGCAAUUUGCUUUCUCUUCCUUCCUAGAGCCCCUUUACACUGCGCAACUAUAGUACUACAAUUUUUCCACUUUAACUGCAAUAGUUAAAGUGGAAAAAAGUUUAGUGAUGCACAACAAUUCUCUGGGCUGAGAAUUCUAAGAACCCUCCUUCAAAUGCAGAUCCCAGGAUUCCACAGAAUGGACACAUGACAAUUGAAGUAGAAUCCUAGUGCUGUACCCAAGUAGUGUGUAAGUCUCUCUUAUCUCCCAGCCAAUUCUCUUCCCCCUGCUCCUGUACACUUCCUGUUCUCUGCUUCUGGUCCUACAUAUCCAUGGAUUCAAUCACAUACAGCUGAAAAAUAUAUAUUUUUUUAAAUUACAAAAAGGCAAACCUUGAUUUUUCCCAUUUUUAUAAAGGAAAUCAUUUUAAUACAUCACUUUAUAUAAAGGAACUUGAGCAUCCAUCAAUUUUGAAAUCCACACAGGGGUCCUCAAAGUAAACCACAGUGGAUAAACUCUGUACUUCCCUUUCUUUUUGUUUGCCUGUAAAUACAUUCUGCAAGAAUCCCUUUCUGCAAGUUCCACCUUCACUCUACCUGCUUUCCUCUGCAAUUUCUGCUUCUCUACAAAAAGGAACUGAAUCCAUUCUAACUACAGCAGUGGUUCCCAACCUGUGGUCUGUGGACCACCAGUGGUCCGCAAGAACUAAAAUAUGGUCCGCAGCCUCAUUGUUACUACUAUGAAUAAUAACACAGCCCAAAAAGAUUUUCUUGGUGUCUUCAUUUUUAGGCCUGUUCCUGGGAUUAUUUGGGGUGCUGAUUGAGAAAAUUGCAUUGGAUAAACCACAUCAGCUCUAGAUUAUUAGAUAUCGUUUUCUGUGGGCGAGCAGAUGGCGACUACUGGAUAGCAUAUGUUCUGCAUCAGAAACUAGAGCUGAUGUGGUCUAUUUAUUUAUUUUUAUUUAUUUAUUUGCGACAUUUAUAUCCCGCCCUUCUCACCCCGAAGGGGACUCGGGGCAGCUUACAAGCCAUAUGUACAUACAAUAUAUUAUAUUAUUCGUAUAGCACAAUAUAAGCAUUAUAUAUUACUGUAUUGUACCAUAAAUCUAAAUUGUAAUAUUAUUAGUAAUAUUGCAUAUCAUAUAAAUAUACCAUUAUAAUAAUGUAUUAUUAUUAUAUUGUAUUACAUUAUAAUAUUAUUAAUAUUAUAUGCAUAUACAAUAUAUUAUGUCUCCCAUUUGGGAGUUCAGUGGCUAUUGCCAGUCAAUCACCAGUUUAUCUAGUGUUAGCUGGUCACUAAGAGUUGUAGAAAAUAAGUCAAUGGUGAUCAUUUAUCAACACCAGGUUUUAAACAUAUUAAAAUGCAAUUUUAUGGAAUGCAAUUUUCUAUGGAAUGCAAUUUUCUCAAUCAGCACCCCAAAUAACCAAACCAAAUCCAAAGUUGACCAAAAACUGAUUCGUAACCCCUUUGGUACUAUUGUUGGAGCGUGGUCCCUGGUCAAGUGAUCCCUGGUCAAAAAAAGGUUGGGAACCACUGAACUACAGGGACACCUGAGGAUUAACAAAGAAAACAGUAAAAAGCCUCCCUGGAGGCAUGACAGCAAAUAAGGCAAUAUUCCAUUUUUCUGAUAAAAAUCAAAAUCUGAAACACUUCCAAGCAUUAUAGAUAAGGGAUAUUCAAACUGUAAUAGUCUAAAGAAAUGUUCCAAGUUUAUUCUAAAUGACAAACAAAGGAAAGGACAAAAUACUACAGCAGAAGUAAUAAAUCUAGUGAGUGAUUAAUACAAAGUUUGAACUAUAAUUAACAUGAAGAAUUAGGAAGCUGCUUGGUGAAAAGACUUGUCAGUGAUAGUUCUCAUCCUUUCCAUACUUUAUUUCUCAUAGUUUUUUUUAAAAGAUAUUCCUUUUGUCUAGAUCAUUUAUAUUCAUUUUAUAUAAAGGGAAUAAUUUUGUUACAUCAUUGUAUAUAAUGGGACUUCUGUCACAAUGAAGGCUAGAGAAGUGAUCCUUUACACACAGAAAGACAUGAAAACAACAGUUCUAUGGCAUCUCAUCUAUUCUAAAAGCCAGCUUCCAGUAUGUAGUUACAAGUUUAUGAUCUCAUGGGCCCCUUCUGCACAGCUGAAUGAAAUCCCACAUUAUCUGCUUUGAACUGGAAUAUAUGGCAGUGUGAACUCAGAUAACCCAGUUCAAAGCAGAUAUUGUGGGAUUUUCUGCCUUGAUAUUCUGGUAAAGGGCUUGAGGUUCAUAGUCAUUCUCAGGCUCUGGAUAUAGAUAAUGUACUUUGCUAUAGGAUAGACAUUAAGAAUUUGGAUUUAACUUAUCACCUAAAAAACUACCAAGCUACUUUGAUUAAAAAAUGGACUGGUCAUCCUUUAAAGACUAUUAAACUUAGACAACAGGAAAGUGUUCAUUUGAAUAUUUACAAAUAGCAAAGAGGAAUAAGAAAAUAAUUUACUAAGGACUUAUCAAAAGAGGAAGAGACUGGAAGUCAACAAUGACUCUUGUUUGAUCCAGUUUGUUUUUCCCUCCUCUUUGUGUUAUUUUUUUUCUUCCUUUCCCUCCCCCAUAUUUCCUUUUUAGAUUAUUUUCUGUAAAUGUUAUAUAAAAGCAGUUUUUAUAAAGAUGGAAAAGAAUGUACUUUGGUACCUUUGUAUUGCUUUUUCUUUUUAUGUUUUUUCUUUUCAUUUCUUUUUACCCUCCCCUAUAUGUUUUGUUGAAUAAAAAUUAUUUCAAAAAAAGAAUAUGAUUUAUUUCCUUAUAAAAUUGAUACAUGGCUGGAAGAGGAAGGAAUUGAGAGGAUGUGCCCAGUAGUAGGUGAAAUAUUGUUUUGGAUAUGCUCACAUAUUAAUAAUUUUGUAGAAUCUGUGUGUAAAGAAAGUAAACAUUUGUGAGCAAUUAAGGAAAUGCUGUCUCUGAGAAUGACAUGAUGUCCCAAAUGUACUUUUGAAAAAUGUACUUUUCAAGUUCCAACCCCCGCACUGAUUUAGUUGUAAAAAAUAUAUAUAUUAUGGUAAGAUUGCCAUCACAUUAAUAGUUUUGUACCAUUUGUUUGAAAAAGUGCCAUCACAUAAAUGAUUUUGUAGGAUUUGUAUGAAAGAGUUAUUAUACAUAUUCCAAAAAGAUAUGCUAGGCCAGUGGCAAAAAAUACACAUUUCACCUCCUUAUCUUGAUGUUAGAGUGUAUUCAAUUUUCAAAAUAUAGAGAAAAACAUUUCAUCAUUCUUGGAAUAUUACUGAAGGUCACUGUAUUACAUGUUGCAAUAACAAAGUAAUAGUUUAUUACAAUGAACCCCAACAUUCAGGAGAAUGAUGACUGCUGAUAAAUAACUGUUCUAAUACUUUUUUCUUUGUAAAAUUGAAGGCUUGACCUUUUUAUAUGUGUUUCCUGAUCUAUCAGAGCUACUCACGUAAUUGAUGUGUGUGUGCAUGUGUGUGGGGAGGGGGAGAAACUGAAUGAAAUGUCUAGCUUAAGAAACCAAAACCCUGACCUUUCUAGUUAGUACUCUUGUAUAGCAUGGCGCUCCAUGCAGUCAUGCCGGCCACAUGACCUUGGAGGUAUCUACAGACAACGCCGGCUCUUUGGCUUAGAGUUGGACAUGACUAGACUUAAUGUCAAGGGAAAACCUUUACCUUUACUUUACUAUAGCACUUAACCUGUUUCAAACCUCCCAAAAGUCUUUUUUUUUAAAGGAGUGAAUCCCUCCUUGUUCUUCUUUUGCCAGAAGAACAUUCUUGUGCCAUCAAACUUGUGCCAUCAAACUCUUAGAAACAGAAUAAGGCGAGCUUUUGAUGAUGUUGUGUGAUGUUUAUAGGUUGUUAAACCUUCUAAUGACAUGUAAUGUCUUUCAUCUUAUGAAUUGUUUGGUUUUAAAUAACCUUUAUAUUUUUAUUGAAGCCAUUUAAAAAAAAUCUGUAUUUUUUAAUAUGCUAUAAGCACUUUGCACCACUGCCCUGCCUUUUUAUUAUCUUGUUCUUAUUCAGUGGUUUUACUUAUUAUUAUAUUGUUGUAAACUAUUGUUUUGACCUGUGUAAUGUUAAAUGUAUAUGAUGUUUUAUUGUUGAAUGUAUUUUUUAAUCUGUUUAUUGUAGAAAUUUGGGCUUGGCCCGAUGUUAGCCGCCCCGGAUCCCCGCAGGGAGUUGGAGGCGGGGUAUAAAAAUAAAGUUGUUGUUGUUGUUGUUGUUGUU